CUGGUUGAUCCUGCCAGUAGUCAUAUGCUUGUCUCAAAGACUAAGCCAUGCAUGUCUAAGUAUAAAUGUUAUACAGUGAAACUGCGAAUGGCUCAUUAAAACAGUUAUAGUUUAUUUGAUAAUCGAAUUUACAUGGAUAACCGUGGUAAUUCUAGAGCUAAUACAUGCUGGUUAGCCUGACUUCGAGGAAGGGCUGUAUUUAUUAGAUAACAAACCAAUAUUCUUCGUGUCUAUUGUGAUGACUCAUAAUAACUGAUCGAAUCGCAUGGUCCUUGACCGCGAUAAAUCAUUCAAGUUUCUGCCCCAUCAGUUUUCGAUGGUAGUGUAUUGGACUACCAUGGCUUUAACGGGUAACGGAGGAUUAGGGUUCGAUUCCGGAGAGGGAGCCUGAGAAACGGCUACCACAUCUAAGGAAGGCAGCAGGCGCGUAAAUUACCCAAUCCUGACUCAGGGAGGUAGUGACAAGAAAUAACGGACCGAGGCUUUGCUUCGGGAUUGCAAUGAGUAGAAUUUAAACCCCUUUACGAGGAUCCAUUGGAGGGCAAGUCUGGU
rnacentral:rRNA from 1 species